GAUGAACGCUGGCGGCGUGCCUAAUACAUGCAAGUCGAGCGAACAGAUGAGGAGCUUGCUCCUCUGACGUUAGCGCCGGUCGGGUCAGUAACAUGUGGAUAACAUACCUAUAAGACUGGGAUAACUUUGGGAAACCGGAGCUAAUACCGGAUAAUAUAUUGAACCGCAUGGUUCAAUAGUGAAAGACGGUUUUGCUGUCACUUAUAGAUGGAUCCGCGCCGCAUUAGCUAGCUGGUAAGGUAACGGCUUACCAAGCCUACGAUGGGUAGCGGACCUGAGAGCGUCAUCGGCCACACUGGAACUGAGACACGGUCCAGACUCCGGCGGGAAGCAGCAGUCGGGAAUCUUCCGCGAGGGGCGAAAGCCGGACGGAGCGACGCCGCGUAAGUGAUGAAGAUCUUCGGAUGGUAGAACUCUGUUGUUAGGAAAGAACAAAUGUGUAAGUAACUAUGCACGUCUUGACGGUACCUAAUCAAAAAGCCACGGCUAACUACGUG
rnacentral:rRNA from 1 species